UCUGCUGGUGGUCGGCUGGAUCGUGCUGCGGCCGCUGCCGGUGGCCUGGGUGUACGACGCCAAUCUGACCCCGUUCGGGUCGGUCCGGCGGGC
rnacentral:tRNA from 1 species